GAUGAACGCUGGCGGCGUGCUUAACACAUGCAAGUCGAACGAAGCAUUUCUUUUGAAAGUCACCAGCUUGCUGGAGAUGGACAUGUGAAAUGACUGAGUGGCGGACGGGUGAGUAACGCGUGAGUAACCUGCCUUAUACAGGGGGAUAACAGUUGGAAACGACUGCUAAUACCGCAUAAGCUUACAGUAUCGCGUGAUACAGUAAGAAAAACUCCGGUGGUAUAAGAUGGACUCGCGUCUGAUUAGCUAGUUGGUGAGGUAAUGGCUCACCAAGGCAACGAUCAGUAGCCGACCUGAGAGGGUGACCGGCCACAUUGGGACUGAGACACGGCCCAAACUCCUACGGGAGGCAGCAGUGGGGAAUAUUGCACAAUGGGGGAAACCCUGAUGCAGCGACGCCGCGUGAAGGAUGAAGUAUUUCGGUAUGUAAACUUCUAUCAGCAGGGAAGAAAAUGACGGUACCUGACUAAGAAGCCCCGACUAAUUACGUGCCAGCCGCCGCGGUAAGAC
rnacentral:rRNA from 1 species